GAUGAAGAACGUAGCGAAAUGCGAUAAGUAAUGUGAAUUGCAGAAUUCAGUGAAUCAUCGAAUCUUUGAACGCACAUUGCGCCCUCUGGUAUUCCGGGGGGCAUGCCUGUUCGAGCGUCAUUACAACCCUCAAGCUUUGCUUGGUAUUGGACAUUGCCAGUUUCUGGCAGGUCUUAAAAUCAGUAGCGGUGCCAUUUGGCUUCAAGCGUAGUAAUUCUUCUCGCUUUGGAGAUCCAGGUGGUUACUUGCCAAUAACCCCCAAUUUUUUCAGGUUGACCUCGGAUCAGGUAGGGAUACCCGCUGAACUUAAGCAUAUCAAUAAGCGGAGGA
rnacentral:misc_RNA from 1 species